GGGAGGGGGCGGUGCCGCGCCCACAGCAAGGCUGACUCCCCCAAUUUCUAUUAGCAUCAGAAGAAUGCCCUCUCAGGGGGAAGCAAUUGUUUUCGCGUAUAAUUUCGACACAUUUGCCAUUAUGGCAGCGCAGUCGCGAGAUGCUUUUGCUUUAAUUUAUUAUUAUUUUUUUUAUAAUGGAGGGACGGUCCCGCCCAGGGUCUAGCGUUCAGGGCCCGCGGCCUCCACGAUCCGGGUACGACCACAGGCGGGUGCCCACCCAACUCCAUCCUGGCCUUCUUCGCCUCACUUCCAGGGGCUGCAGGGGACACCGAGCUCCUUUUCCUCUCAAAGGAAUAGAAAACAAAUACGCUGUUAAAAGAGUUCAAUCAGAAGAACUCGUGACAGUGGGGAUGGUGUGAAGCAGAUGGACCUGAGAAUACUUAGAAGAUGAAAUCACCAGAUGGAUGAGAGCUGAGAGCAAAGGAGGGGGCGUCUGGAAAGAAAUGGAGAGGGAGAGCCUGCAGGAGGAUGAGAUCUGGGGGACACAUUGAGGUGUCCCUUCAGGCAUUUCUAUGAACUUCUUGAACUUUCAGCUGGGCACAGGAAAAGCAACACUCCAGCCUGGGUCUCCCGGCCUCUCCUGCAAACCCCUGCAAACUCAGGGCAGCUCUGGGAAGGCAGGAACCGCAUCUGACUCACCCUCUUGUCAGGCCCUGUGUGGACGCUGGUGACAAAGUCACAGAUAUUACCAGUAUAUCUGUGGCCUGUAGCCUACAGUCAUAAUGAAAGGCAUGCCAAAUUUCCAUUCAACAUUAGUAAAAAUAAAGGUGUUAUUUUCUUCCCAUCCAA